GAUGAACGCUGGCGGCGUGCCUAAUACAUGCAAGUCGAGCGAACAGACGAGGAGCUUGCUCCUCUGACGUUAGCGGCGGACGGGUGGGUAACACGUGGAUAACCUACCUAUAAGACUGGGAUAACUUCGGGAAACCGGAGCUAAUACCGGAUAAUAUAUUGAACCGCAUGGUUCAAUAGUGAAAGACGGUUUUGCUGUCACUUAUAGAUGGAUCCGCGCCGCAUUAGCUAGUUGGUAAGGUAACGGCUUACCAAGGCAACGAUGCGUAGCCGACCUGAGAGGAUGAUCGGCCACACUGGAACUGAGACACGGUCCAGACUCCUACGGGAGGCAGCAGUAGGGAAUCUUCCGCAAUGGGCGAAAGCCUGACGGAGCAACGCCGCGUGAGUGAUGAAGGUCUUCGGAUCGUAAAACUCUGUUAUUAGGGAAGAACAAAUGUGUAAGUAACUAUGCACGUCUUGACGGUACCUAAUCAGAAAGCCACGGCUAACUACGUG
rnacentral:rRNA from 1 species